AUAUCUUUGGCCAAAAGUCUCUUUGCAGGGGCUAUAUGUGCCAAACUCCCCAUAGAUUUUAUACUCAAUGCAUCAGCCAUCACGUUGGCUUUUUCAUGAUGAUACAAAAUAGAACAACCAUAGUCUUUGAGUAGUUCCAUCCAAUGACGCUGCCGAAGAUUUAGAUCUCUCUGCUGAAAGAUAUGCUUCAGACUUUUAUGGUCAGUAUAAAUCUCACAAUUCGCCGUAUAGAUAAUGUCUCCAAAUUUUUAAAGCAAACACCACUGCAGCCAUCUCCAAAUCAUGUGUAGGAUAGUUUUGCUCGUGUUUUUUCAAUUGUCUCGAAGCAUAACCAAUAACACGAUCAUUUUGUAUGAGAACACAUCCUAAUCCCACCUGAGGCAUCACAAAAUACUGUAAAUCCUCCAGGGCCUGAUGGUAAGGCUAAUAUUGGUGCAGUUGUCAAACCUACGAGAAUAUAUCAGGAUGUCAUCAAUAAAUACUAUUACAAACCAAUCCAGAAACGGCUUGAACACCCUAUUCAUUAAAUCCAUGAAUGCAGCUGGAGCAUUUGUCAGUCUGAAAGGCAUCACAAGAAACUCAUAGUGCCCGUAUCGAGUCUUGAAAGCAGUCUUAGAAAUAUUUUCAUAUUUGGUUCUAAGUUGAUGAUAACCGGAACGGAGGUCAAUAUUUGAAAAGCGGGUAGCUCCUUGUAACUGAUCAAUCAUAUCAUCUAUACGAGGCAAAGGAUAUUUAUUGCGUAUUGUUAUCUUGUUCAACUGCUGUGAUAACCAGAACGGAGGUCAAUCUUUGAAAAAUGGGCAGCUCCUUGUAACUGAUCAAACAUGUCAUCUAUACGAAGCAAAGGAUAUUUAUUAUGUAUUGCUAUCUUGUUCAACUGCCUAUAGUCAAUGCACGUUCUCAGGGUUCCGUCUUUCUUCUUUACGAACAGUACUGGUGCACCCCAUGGUGAUACACUAGGUCUAAUAAAACCCUUAUCUAAAAAAUUUUGUAACUAUUGCUUUAGCUCUCUUA
rnacentral:lncRNA from 1 species